rnacentral:rRNA from 1 species
CCUACGGGUGGCAGCAGUGAGGAAUAUUGGUUAAUGGACGCAAGUCUGAACCAGCCAUGCCGCGUGCAGGAAGACGGCUCUAUGAGUUGUAAACUGCUUUUGUACGAGGGUAAACGCAGAUACGCGUAUCUGUCUGAAAGUAUCGUACGAAUAAGGAUCGGCUAACUCCGUGCCAGCAGCCGCGGUAAUACGGAGGAUUCAAGCGUUAUCCGGAUUUAUUGGGUUUAAAGGGUGCGUAGGCGGUCGGAUAAGUUAGAGGUGAAAGCCCGAGGCUCAACUUCGGAAUUGCCUGUGAUACUGUUCGGCUAGAGAGUAGUAGCGGUAGGCGGAAUGUAUGGUGUAGCGGUGAAAUGCUUAGAGAUCGUACAGAACACCGAUUGCGAAGGCAGCUUACCAAGCUACUUCUGACGUUGAGGCACGAAAGCGUGGGGAGCAAACAGGAUUAGAUACCCCAGUAGUC